rnacentral:rRNA from 1 species
GACGAACGCUGGCGGCGUGCUUAACACAUGCAAGUCGAACGGAAAGGCCCUGCGUUUGUGGGGUGCUCGAGUGGCGAACGGGUGAGUAACAGGAGAGUAACCUGCCCUAGACUUUGGGAUAACUUCAGGAAACUGGGGUUAAGACAGGAUAGGAGACCACGUAGCAGGGUGGGGGUGGGAAAGUUGGGGCGGGGGGGGAUGGACUCGCGGCUGAUCAGCUGGUUGGUGGGGGAGGGGAUUACCAAGGCUUUGACUGGUAGCCGGCCUGAGAGGGUGGCCGGCCUCAUUGGUCCUGAGAUACGCCCCAGUCUCCUACGUUAGGCAGCAGUCGCGAAUAUUGCACAGCGGGCGGAAGCCUGAUGCAGCAACCCCCCGUUCGUGAUGACGUCCUUCUGGUUGUGAACCGCUUUCGCCUGUGACGAAGCGUUUCUGACGGUAAUGGGUGAAUAAGCACCGGCUAACUACGUG